CAAAAAAUAGUUUAAUUAAAAUACUAGUUUUGGGGACUAGGGUUAGGACUAUUGUUCUUUUUUUGA
rnacentral:tRNA from 1 species